AUGAAGCGAAAACAAAAGCGGUGGCAAUUUCGCAAUUUUGCCUAAACUUCUCUUAACCAAUAGAAAAUGUUUUUUGUAGAUCUCAGAUCCCCUUUCUCUUAACCCUUCUGCUAAUAAUCUCACUCAUUGAAAGCCAUUGUUCUCACUCCUCAAAUCGUCGUCGUUCUCAACGUUUCAUCCAAUUGUGAUGUUGUUUUCACUCAAUCGAUGUCGUUCUCGCCGUUUCUCGUAUGGGUUCUCGUUGUCAGUGGAAGAAAAGCUCUUCUCCGGUUCUGAAAAUAUGGGUUUUCACUACAAGUAAGAAUUUAUAGUUGAUGGAUGCAUGUUUCUGGUGGUGUUCAACUUCAAAGGGCCUCAAUGGGUUAAAAUGGCACACAAUAGUUAAAAUGUUUAAGUACAAUGACACACUUGCUGUAUAAUGAUGAUGCAGUAGCAGCAAGGUGAAAAGACUCUUGGAGUCCACUUAAAUCAACAAAAAGAAGGAGAAAAGUGUGCAAGAGACAUAAAUGUGGAGUAAAAGGAGCUGAGGGUUCAAAAUGGUUGAAACAUUAUUGUAGUGAUCAUCAAAUACUGCUUGUGGAUGAGAGUGAUUUCUCCUUCUCCCUUUGCAUAUCCAAAUUAAGCUUUUGCUUCUACUGCCAACAUUUUGUCUUCUUCACUUGACAACUAUUGGUCUCUUUCUAUCUCUUUUCUCACUUUUUCUAUAUAUAAAACGAAAGAUGGGAUGUCAAACAAAAGCUUUUCAUUGUUGUGCUGGACAGGAGGACUAUUAAACUUCAAAUUUUGCAGGAAACGAUCAAACAAAGUUAACAAGAGAUUCAAUUGCAUGCUAGUGAACUUUUUAAGUUGAUGGAUUAAGUCUCCAAGUACAAAGAACAUGUAUAAGAACUAGAACUUGCAGAUAUAUUUACUUUUAGUAACAUCAGAUUUUGGAUAUGGUAAUGUGAUGUACUUCAAUUUUGAACUGUAGAUAAUUUGUGUUAUGCAUAAUGCAUGUUUGUUAAUCACAUGGGUAAGGACUAGAACUUACAAAUAUUUUUACUUUUAAUAACAAUUUAUUUUGGAUAA